UACGUAGGGCGCAAGCGUUGUCCGGAAUUAUUGGGCGUAAAGAGCUCGUAGGCGGUCUGUCGCGUCGGAUGUGAAAGCCCGGGGCUUAACCCCGGGUCUGCAUUCGAUACGGGCAGACUAGAGUGUGGUAGGGGAGAUCGGAAUUCCUGGUGUAGCGGUGAAAUGCGCAGAUAUCAGGAGGAACACCGGUGGCGAAGGCGGAUCUCUGGGCCUUACCUGACGCUCAGGCGCGAAGGUCAGGGGAGCAAACGGG
rnacentral:rRNA from 1 species